GACGAACGCUGGCGGCGUGCUUAACACAUGCAAGUCGAACGGAGAUUCAGCAAUGGAUCUUAGUGGCGAACGGGUGAGUAACGCGUAGGCAAUCUGCCUUCUAGAUGGGGACAACAUCCCGAAAGGGGUGCUAAUACCGAAUGUUGUACCGUUUCCGCAUGGAGAUGAUACUAAAGGUGGCCUCUGAAUAUGCUACCGCUAGAAGAUGAGCCUGCGUCUGAUUAGCUAGUUGGAGGGGUAACGGCCCACCAAGGCUUCGAUCAGUAGCCGGUCUGAGAGGGUGAACGGCCACACUGGGACUGAGACACGGCCCCGACUCCCACGGGAGGCAGCAGUGGGGAAUCUUCCGCAAUGGACGAAAGUCUGACGGAGCAACGCCGGGUGAGUGAAGAAGGUUUUCGGAUCGUAAAGCUCUUUCGUUAGGGACGAACGUGGUCUUUGUGAAUAAUGAGGAGUAAAGACGGUACCUAAAUAAGAAGCCACGGCUAACUACGUGCCAGCCGCCGCCGUAA
rnacentral:rRNA from 1 species